CCUCCCCGGGAGUCUGUUUUCCCGCAGAGCACGCGGCACAGUCGCGAUAUUUGGGGUUUUUCUUUCUUUUUCUCCACUUUACCCUCCUGAGCGCGGCUCGGUGUCGAUCCCUCCCUCCCCGCAGCACCGACCACGGUUUGCAGAGCCGAAGCUGGGAGCACAAAGAGCCCCAUCCCGAAUCUCCAGGGGUUUCCUGCUGCAUCCCAUCCCAAGGGAACGCUUUGGACUGAAAUUGCCUUUAUUUGUGGGGCUUUUCCCCUUCUACACUCCUAGGAAACAACACAGGGCACAAAUACAGAUAAAAAUAGAAAUACAGGUUGUGAAUUGGAGCUGCCCACGACAAAGGGGAUGGAUUAACUCCCCUUUCCUUCAUCCCUGCAGGGUUUUCCCUGCAAUUUAGCAAAAACGCCACUUCUGAGCUGCUUUCAAAGCACAUCUAUGGGAGUGAAACCGGGAAAAUAUCCUUUUAACUUCUCCCUGGAGGAGAAAAGUUCCCGCGGGGGGAAAGCCCAGGCGGCAAAGCAGAGACGGGGAAAGUCAACACGGAUUGUGCCCGGGAGCCCCGGGGCUGUUUGAUCCCGGAGCCGCCCGGAACGGAGCCAGGAGCCCCUCGGGGCCCCGCACGUGCCAGUCCCCAGCUCUGUUUGAUGUUCUGCUCCAAGGUGAACCGGCUGAACCAGCCAGAGCGGGAUGGGAGCGGCCGGGACACCGCUGGGAU
rnacentral:lncRNA from 1 species